CCUUCCCUUCUGACUAAAGUAACUGGCUCUAUCUUUCCAGCUUUGCAUGAGAGACCCAAGACACUGCCCCUGAACAUGUGACUGGGCAGCAGCAUGGUAUGUGUCCACAUAGUCGGAAAUGAAGAGCUCCCGGUUCUUGAUGACUGGAUCUGUGAUGACAAGCUCUCUUCCAGAGUCUGCAAACAAAAGAAAUCAGUUAACCAAAUAAGAAGAUAUUAAAACAGCGUUUCCUAAAACAA